GCGGCCGCCCACGGGGAAGCUGCGAGGAGCGGGAGCACCUGGGGGACCGCUUGCAGCGGGGACGCGAGGACCCGGGCUGGGCUUUCCUCACCCGGAUUAACCGAGCCCCAAGCUUUGGAACUGAUCAGAAAAUAGACUAUGAUGUAAAAAGGGGAGUGCUGCUAAAUGCAUUGAAGCUACUAAACAUAAGGACCAGUGACAAAAGGAGAAACUUGGCCAAACAAAAAGCUGAGGCUCAAAGGAGGCUCUAUGGUCAAAAUUCAAUUAAAAGGCUCUUACCAGGCUCCUCAGACUGGGAGCAGCAGAGACACCAGUUGGAGAGGCGGAAAGAAGAGUUGAAAGAGAGACUCGCUCAAGUACGAAAGCAGAUCUCACGAGAGGAACAUGAAAAUCGACAUAUGGGGAAUUAUAGACGAAUUUAUCCUCCUGAAGAUAAAGCAUUACUUGAAAAGUAUGAAAAUUUGUUAGCUGUUGCCUUUCAGACCUUCCUUUCAGGAAGAGCAGCUUCAUUCCAGCGAGAGUUGAAUAAUCCUUUGAAAAGGAUGAAGGAAGA
rnacentral:sRNA from 1 species